CAGCCGUAAACUAUGCUCGCUAGGUGUCAGGCAUGGUGCGACCGUGUCUGGUGCCGCAGGGAAGCCGUGAAGCGAGCCACCUGGGAAGUACGGCCGCAAGGCUGAAACUUAAGGAAUUGGCGGGGGAGCACAACAACGGGUGGAGCCUGCGGUUUAAUUGGACUCAACGCCGGACAACUCACCGGGAACGACAGCAAUAUGUAGGCCAGGCUGAAGACCUUGCCUGAAUCGCUGAGAGGAGGUGCAUGGCGUAGACGUCU
rnacentral:rRNA from 1 species